UUGAAACACCAGUCCCCAUAUGAUCACUAAAGUUAAGCAAUAUUGAGCCUGGUUAGUACUGAGAUGGGUGACCACUUGAAAAUCGAAGGUGUUGUAAG